CAAGGGGARUGGCASACGGGUGAGUAACGCAGUGGGAAUCUACCUGUGCCCUGCGGAAUACUCCGGGAAACUGGAAUUAAUACCGCAUACGCCCUUACGGGGAAAGAUUUAUCUGGGGUAAUGAUGAGCCCAGCGUUGGAUUAGCUASUUGGUCGGGGUAAAUGCCUACCAAUGCUGACGAUCCAUAUCUGGUCUKACAGGAUCGAUCACCACAUUGGGACUGACACACCGCCC
rnacentral:rRNA from 1 species